GACGAACGCUGGCGGCGUGCUUAACACAUGCAAGUCGAACGGAAAGGCCCUGCUUUUGUGGGGUGCUCGAGUGGCGAACGGGUGAGUAACACGUGAGUAACCUGCCCUUGACUUUGGGAUAACUUCAGGAAACUUGGGCUAAUACCGGAUAGGAGCUCCUGCUGCAUGGUGGGGGUUGGAAAGUUUCGGCGGUUGGGGAUGGACUCGCCGCUUAUCAGCUUGUUGGUGGGGUAGUGGCUUACCAAGGCUUUGACGGGUAGCCGGCCUGAGAGGGUGACCGGCCACAUUGGGACUGAGAUACGGCCCAGCCUCCUACGGGACGGAGCAGUGGAGAAUAUUGCAUAAUGGGCGGAAGCCUGAUCCAGCAACGCAGCGUGCGGGAUGACGGCAUUCGGGUUGUAAUCCGAUUUCGCCUGUGACGAAGCGUGAGUGACGGUAAUGGGUAAAGAAGCACCGGCUAACUACGUG
rnacentral:rRNA from 1 species